CCCUUAGAUGUUCUGGGCCGCACGCGUGCUACACUGAUGCAUUCAACGAGUCUAAAACCUGGUCUGAUAGGGCUGGGUAAUCUUUUGAAAGUGCAUCGUGAUUGGGAUAGAUGAUUGCAAUUCUUCAUCUUCAACGAGGAAUGCCUAGUAAACGCAAGUCAUCAGCUUGCAUUGAUUACGUCCCUGCCCUUUGUACACACCGCCCGUCGCUCCUACCGAUUGAAUGAUCCGAUGAAUAUCAUGGAUUGAGAGUACGAAUGGGUUCGCUCAUUUCUGCUGCUCGAGAAGUGAAGUAAAUCUUAUCAUUUAGAGGAAGGAGCAGUCGUAACA
rnacentral:rRNA from 1 species